GCGCCAGUAGCUCAGUGGAUUAGAGCACUUGUCUUCGGAACAAGGGGUCGGGUGUUCGAAUCACCCCUGGCGCA
rnacentral:tRNA from 1 species